rnacentral:rRNA from 1 species
UACAGAGGUCUCAAGCGUUGUUCGGAUUCAUUGGGCGUAAAGGGUGCGUAGGUGGCGAGGUUAGUCAGGUGUGAAAUCUCGGGGCUCAACCCCGAAACUGCACUUGAUACUGCCUUGCUAGAGUACUGGAGAGGAGAUUGGAAUUUACGGUGUAGCAGUGAAAUGCGUAGAUAUCGUAAGGAAGACCAGUGGCGAAGGCGAAUCUCUGGACAGUUCCUGACGCUGAGGCACGAAGGUCAGGGGAGCAAACGGG